AAGAAAUGGACAUAAUACCAAAGGACUGAAGAAAAUCAGGAAAAGCUGGUACCAGCUGAGGAGCAACCCAGAAUCCCAUGGAUCUAUUGUUGCGACAAAGAUUGUGUUUUGUGUUUUAUGUUUUGUCUUGUGUUGUUUGUCUUGUUGCUACCAUUGUUGUGUACUGUGUUACAA